UACGUAGGGUGCGAGCGUUGUCCGGAAUUAUUGGGCGUAAAGAGCUUGUAGGCGGUCUGUCGCGUCUGCUGUGAAAUCCGGGGCUCAACCCCGGACUUGCAGUGGGUACGGGCGGACUGGAGUUCGGCAGGGGAGACUGGAAUUCCUGGUGUAGCGGUGAAAUGCGCAGAUAUCAGGAGGAACACCGGUGGCGAAGGCGGGUCUCUGGGCCGAUACUGACGCUGAGGAGCGAAAGCGUGGGGAGCGAACAGG
rnacentral:rRNA from 1 species